rnacentral:rRNA from 1 species
AGCGAACGCUGGCGGCAGGCCUAACACAUGCAAGUCGAACGAAGUCUUCGGACUUAGUGGCGGACGGGUGAGUAACACGUGGGAACGUACCUUUUGGUUCGGAACAACUCAGGGAAACUUGAGCUAAUACCGGAUGAGCCCUUAGGGGGAAAGAUUUAUCGCCGAAAGAGCGGCCCGCGUUAGAUUAGCUAGUUGGUGAGGUAAAGGCUCACCAAGGCUACGAUCUAUAGCUGGUCUGAGAGGAUGAUCAGCCACACUGGGACUGAGAUACGGCCCAGACUCCUACGGGAGGCGGCAGUGGGGAAUCUUGCGCAAUGGGCGAAAGCCUGACGCAGCCAUGCCGCGUGAAUGAUGAAGGUCUUAGGAUUGUAAAAUUCUUUUACCAGGGACGAUAAUGACGGUACCUGGAGAAAAAGCCCCGGCUAACUUCGUGCCAGCAGCCGCCGUAACAC